AAGACUAUACUUUCAGGGAUCAUUUCUAUAGUUUGUUACAUCAUACUGCAUACAUCAAACAAUGAAGAAUCCAGGU
rfam:Gorilla gorilla gorilla genomic chromosome, chr5, whole genome shotgun sequence